rnacentral:rRNA from 1 species
AUGAACGCUGGCGGCGUGCCUAAUACAUGCAAGUCGAGCGAACAGACGAGGGGCUUGCUCCUCUGACGUUAGCGGCGGACGGGUGAGUAACACGUGGAUAACCUACCUAUAAGACUGGGAUAACUUCGGGAAACCGGAGCUAAUACCGGAUAAUAUAUUGAACCGCAUGGUUCAAUAGUGAAAGACGGUUUUGCUGUCACUUAUAGAUGGAUCCGCGCCGCAUUAGCUAGUUGGUAAGGUAACGGCUUACCAAGGCAACGAUGCGUAGCCGACCUGAGAGGGUGAGCGGCCACACUGGAACUGAGACACGGUCCAGACUCCUACGGGAGGCAGCAGUAGGGAAUCUUCCGCAAUGGGCGAAAGCCUGACGGAGCAACGCCGCGUGAGUGAUGAAGGUCUUCGGAUCGUAAAACUCUGUUAUUAGGGAAGAACAAAUGUGUAAGUAACUAUGCACGUCUUGACGGUACCUAAUCAGAAAGCCACGGCUAACUACGUG